GAACAGGUCGAGAUGCGACGUCGAUCACAUCGGGUGGGGCCAUUCUCUCAGAGCAGAGCUUGAAACAAGGGUCAGAACAUUAGACGGGGUUCAACUAUGAAUUUCUUUUGCUGAGGAUCAUUUCAGUGAUUGUGUAGUGGACGAAGUGCUCUUAUUGGAUUGUUCAAUGAAGUUUCGACACUGAGAUGGACGGAUCUUGUAAGUUGUGGAUAAUGAAAGAUUACGAUGUAAAGGAACCUUGCACUGAGAAUUUUACUCUAAAAGAGACUCGUUUUCAUUCAAUUGUACCAAAAUAAAGGUCUGCGGAUGGUAAAUUACUACUUUGCUGCAAAUUGGAUGGUUAUUCUGUAUUUAGGACAUCCAAAGGACCAUUUGGAUUAUGGCCUCAAAUUGAUAUGCGUCAAGACGGUGUGGUUUAAACAAGAAGCUUGAUUUCUCCAAAAUCACUUCUUUCGCGUUUGAUUAAUCAUUUACGAUCAAGAACAUCAAAUAUGUCAUCGAUCAAUUUCUUUUUCUAACGUCAUUUUCUUUAAGUUUUGGUUUUAUAUUUAGUAAAUACUAGACUUCAUGAAGUUGUAAUAGGGCCACUACUUGAUACCCUAUACACUUUUUAGACAUGUUUGAAAAUUGUGUUGCACUGUUCAAUUCUGCUCGAUUUUUUUAAUCUCUCUUGAUUUAUUUUCUCUUUAAUGUCAUUUUAUUUUAUAUGAUUUUGACUUUUAAU